UCGUGCCGUGAGGCGUCUGGUUAACUCCGAUAACGAACGAGACCUUGGCUUAUUAAAUAGUGACAUGAACUUUGGUUUGUGAUCAGCUUCUUAGAGGGACUAUUGACUUAAAGUCAAUGGAAGGUUUAGGCAAUAACA
rnacentral:rRNA from 1 species